AGCAUUUCAUCAGCUUUUGGUUACAACAACAAUAGCGAAAUAACAGUCUUUCAUCUAACGAGGAGUAUAGACUUAUCAUAAAUUUCAGAAAGUAAAGGGGGGAGAAGAUCACAGUGGCUAUGGCAUGGAGCUGAAGGAGGUUGAUAAUUUCUGAUUGCAGCAGAAACACAGCAAAGAUACCAAUGAAAUUAAUCACAUCAAAAUCACCUCUACACAAAUAUAUAAUCCCAGCAGAAACAAAAUCUGUAGCUUUUAUAUUGUUUGCGCCCCUAAACAAGUUAGCUUAAAGUAGUUUAAAUAUUUUUCUGUCUUUA